rnacentral:rRNA from 2 species
AUGCGUUGUUGGGUAGGGGAGCGUUCUGUAAGCCUGCGAAGGUGUGCUGUGAGGCAUGCUGGAGGUAUCAGAAGUGCGAAUGCUGACAUAAGUAACGAUAAAGCGGGUGAAAAGCCCGCUCGCCGGAAGACCAAGGGUUCCUGUCCAACGUUAAUCGGGGCAGGGUGAGUCGACCCCUAAGGCGAGGCCGAAAGGCGUAGUCGAUGGGAAACAGGUUAAUAUUCCUGUACUUGGUGUUACUGCGAAGGGGGGACGGAGAAGGCUAUGUUGGCCGGGCGACGGUUGUCCCGGUUUAAGCGUGUAGGCUGGUUUUCCAGGCAAAUCCGGAAAAUCAAGGCUGAGGCGUGAUGACGAGGCACUGCGGUGCUGAAGCAACAAAUGCCCUGCUUCCAGGAAAAGCCUCUAAGCAUCAGGUAACAUCAAAUCGUACCCCAAACCGACACAGGUGGUCAGGUAGAGAAUACCAAGGCGCUUGAGAGAACUCGGGUGAAGGAACUAGGCAAAAUGGUGCCGUAACUUCGGGAGAAGGCACGCUGAUAUGUAGGUGAAGUCCCUCGCGGAUGGAGCUGAAAUCAGUCGAAGAUACCAGCUGGCUGCAACUGUUUAUUAAAAACACAGCACUGUGCAAACACGAAAGUGGACGUAUACGGUGUGACGCCUGCCCGGUGCCGGAAGGUUAAUUGAUGGGGUUAGCGCAAGCGAAGCUCUUGAUCGAAGCCCCGGUAAACGGCGGCCGUAACUAUAACGGUCCUAAGGUAGCGAAAUUCCUUGUCGGGUAAGUUCCGACCUGCACGAAUGGCGUAAUGAUGGCCAGGCUGUCUCCACCCGAGACUCAGUGAAAUUGAACUCGCUGUGAAGAUGCAGUGUACCCGCGGCAAGACGGAAAGACCCCGUGAACCUUUACUAUAGCUUGACACUGAACAUUGAGCCUUGAUGUGUAGGAUAGGUGGGAGGCUUUGAAGUGUGGACGCCAGUCUGCAUGGAGCCGACCUUGAAAUACCACCCUUUAAUGUUUGAUGUUCUAACGUUGACCCGUAAUCCGGGUUGCGGACAGUGUCUGGUGGGUAGUUUGACUGGGGCGGUCUCCUCCUAAAGAGUAACGGAGGAGCACGAAGGUUGGCUAAUCCUGGUCGGACAUCAGGAGGUUAGUGCAAUGGCAUAAGCCAGCUUGACUGCGAGCGUGACGGCGCGAGCAGGUGCGAAAGCAGGUCAUAGUGAUCCGGUGGUUCUGAAUGGAAGGGCCAUCGCUCAACGGAUAAAAGGUACUCCGGGGAUAACAGGCUGAUACCGCCCAAGAGUUCAUAUCGACGGCGGUGUUUGGCACCUCGAUGUCGGCUCAUCACAUCCUGGGGCUGAAGUAGGUCCCAAGGGUAUGGCUGUUCGCCAUUUAAAGUGGUACGCGAGCUGGGUUUAGAACGUCGUGAGACAGUUCGGUCCCUAUCUGCCGUGGGCGCUGGAGAACUGAGGGGGGCUGCUCCUAGUACGAGAGGACCGGAGUGGACGCAUCACUGGUGUUCGGGUUGUCAUGCCAAUGGCACUGCCCGGUAGCUAAAUGCGGAAGAGAUAAGUGCUGAAAGCAUCUAAGCACGAAACUUGCCCCGAGAUGAGUUCUCCCUGACUCCUUGAGAGUCCUGAAGGAACGUUGAAGACGACGACGUUGAUAGGCCGGGUGUGUAAGCGCAGCGAUGCGUUGAGCUAACCGGUACUAAUGAACCGUGAG